rnacentral:rRNA from 1 species
GACGAACGCUGGCGGCGUGCUUAACACAUGCAAGUCGAACGGAAAGGCCCUGCUUUUGUGGGGUGCUCGAGUGGCGAACGGGUGAGUAACACGUGAGUAACCUGCCCUUGACUUUGGGAUAACUUCAGGAAACUGGGGCUAAUACCGGAUAGGAGCUCCUGCUGCAUGGUGGGGGUUGGAAAGUUUCGGCGGUUGGGGAUGGACUCGCGGCUUAUCAGCUUGUUGGUGGGGUAGUGGCUUACCAAGGCUUUGACGGGUAGCCGGCCUGAGAGGGUGACCGGCCACAUUGGGACUGAGAUACGGCCCAGACUCCUACGGGAGGCAGCAGUGGGGAAUAUUGCACAAUGGGCGGAAGCCUGAUGCAGCAACGCCGCGUGCGGGAUGACGGCCUUCGGGUUGUAAACCGCUUUCGCCUGUGACGAAGCGUGAGUGACGGUAAUGGGUAAAGAAGCACCGGCUAACUACGUGCCAGCAGCCGCGGUGAUACGUAGGGUGCGAGCGUUGUCCGGAUUUAUUGGGCGUAAAGGGCUCGUAGGUGGUUGAUCGCGUCGGAAGUGUAAUCUUGGGGCUUAACCCUGAGCGUGCUUUCGAUACGGGUUGACUUGAGGAAGGUAGGGGAGAAUGGAAUUCCUGGUGGAGCGGUGGAAUGCGCAGAUAUCAGGAGGAACACCAGUGGCGAAGGCGGUUCUCUGGGCCUUUCCUGACGCUGAGGAGCGAAAGCGUGGGGAGCGAACAGGCUUAGAUACCCUGGUAGUCCACGCUGUAAACGGUGGGUACUAGGUGUGGGGUCCAUUCCACGGGUUCCGUGCCGUAGCUAACGCUUUAAGUACCCCGCCUGGGGAGUACGGCCGCAAGGCUAAAACUCAAAGGAAUUGACGGGGCCCCGCACAAGCGGCGGAGCAUGCGGAUUAAUUCGAUGCAACGCGUAGAACCUUACCUGGGUUUGACAUGGAUCGGGAGUGCUCAGAGAUGGGUGUGCCUCUUUUGGGGUCGGUUCACAGGUGGUGCAUGGCUGACGUCAGCUCGUAUCGUGAGAUGUUGGGUUAAGUCCCGCAACGAGCGCAACCCUUGUUCACUGUUGCCAGCACGUUAUGGUGGGGACUCAGUGGAGACCGCCGGGGUCAACUCGGAGGAAGGUGGGGAUGACGUCAAGUCAUCAUGCCCCUUAUGUCCAGGGCUUCACGCAUGCUACAAUGGCUGGUACAGAGAGUGGCGAGCCUGUGAGGGUGAGCGAAUCUCGGAAAGCCGGUCUCAGUUCGGAUUGGGGUCUGCAACUCGACCUCAUGAAGUCGGAGUCGCUAGUAAUCGCAGAUCAGCAACGCUGCGGUGAAUACGUUCCCGGG